rnacentral:rRNA from 1 species
GGGUUGUGAGGUUAAGCGACUAAGCGUACACGGUGGAUGCCCUGGCAGUCAGAGGCGAUGAAGGACGUGCUAAUCUGCGAAAAGCGUCGGUAAGGUGAUAUGAACCGUUAUAGCCGGCGAUGUCCGAAUGGGGAAACCCAGUGCAAUUCGUUGCACUAUCGUUUGAUGAAUACAUAGUCAAACGAGGCGAACCGGGGGAACUGAAACAUCUAAGUACCCCGAGGAAAAGAAAUCAACCGAGAUUCCCCCAGUAGCGGCGAGCGAACGGGGAGCAGCCCGGAGUCUGAAUCAGCUUGUGUGUUAGUGGAAGCGUCUGGAAAGUCGCAGGGUACAGGGUGAUACUCCCGUACACUAAAACACACAGGCUGUGAACUCGAAGAGUAGGGCGGGACACGUGGUAUCCUGUCUGAAUAUGGGGGGACCAUCCUCCAAGGCUAAAUACUCCUGACUGACCGAUAGUGAACCAGUACCGUGAGGGAAAGGCGAAAAGAACCCCGGCGAGGGGAGUGAAAAAGAACCUGAAACCGUGUACGUACAAGCAGUAGGAGCCCCACCACCAAAGCGUUUCGCUUUGCGUGGUGCGCAAAAUGCGUAACGACAGCAUGAUGGACGGUUAACGGAGCGUCAGCGACGUUCAACCUCAAAAAUCAGGCAGUGGAGCGUUUUGGGGUGGGGUGACUGCGUACCUUUUGUAUAAUGGGUCAGCGACUUAUAUUCUGUAGCAAGGUUAACCGUAUAGGGGAGCCGCAGGGAAACCGAGUCUUAACUGGGCGUUAAGUUGCAGGGUAUAGACCCGAAACCCGGUGAUCUAGCCAUGGGCAGGUUGAAGGUUGGGUAACACUAACUGGAGGACCGAACCGACUAAUGUUGAAAAAUUAGCGGAUGACUUGUGGCUGGGGGUGAAAGGCCAAUCAAACCGGGAGAUAGCUGGUUCUCCCCGAAAGCUAUUUAGGUAGCGCCUCGUGAACUCAUCUUCGGGGGUAGAGCACUGUUUCGGCUAGGGGGUCAUCCCGACUUACCAACCCGAUGCAAACUACGAAUACCGAAGAAUGUUAUCACGGGAGACACACGGCGGGUGCUAACGUCCGUCGUGAAGAGGGAAACAACCCAGACCGCCAGCUAAGGUCCCAAAGUCAUGGUUAAGUGGGAAACGAUGUGGGAAGGCCCAGACAGCCAGGAUGUUGGCUUAGAAGCAGCCAUCAUUUAAAGAAAGCGUAAUAGCUCACUGGUCGAGUCGGCCUGCGCGGAAGAUGUAACGGGGCUAAACCAUGCACCGAAGCUGCGGCAGCGACACUAUGUGUUGUUGGGUAGGGGAGCGUUCUGUAAGCCGUUGAAGGUGGCCUGUGAGGGUUGCUGGAGGUAUCAGAAGUGCGAAUGCUGACAUAAGUAACGAUAAUGCGGGUGAAAAACCCGCACGCCGGAAGACCAAGGGUUCCUGUCCAACGUUAAUCGGGGCAGGGUGAGUCGACCCCUAAGGCGAGGCCGAAAGGCGUAGUCGAUGGGAAACAGGUUAAUAUUCCUGUACUUGGUGUUACUGCGAAGGGGGGACGGAGAAGGCUAUGUUGGCCGGGCGACGGUUGUCCCGGUUUAAGCAUGUAGGCGGAUGUUCCAGGUAAAUCCGGAACGUCACUAACGCUGAGGUGUGAUGACGAGGCACUACGGUGCUGAAGUGACAAAUGCCCUGCUUCCAGGAAAAGCCUCUAAGCAUCAGGUAACAUCAAAUCGUACCCCAAACCGACACAGGUGGUCAGGUAGAGAAUACCAAGGCGCUUGAGAGAACUCGGGUGAAGGAACUAGGCAAAAUGGUGCCGUAACUUCGGGAGAAGGCACGCUGAUGGUAAGUGAAGUGACUUGCUCAUGGAGCUGAAAUCAGUCGAAGAUACCAGCUGGCUGCAACUGUUUAUUAAAAACACAGCACUGUGCAAACACGAAAGUGGACGUAUACGGUGUGACGCCUGCCCGGUGCCGGAAGGUUAAUUGAUGGGGUUAUCCUCACGGAGAAGCUCUUGAUCGAAGCCCCGGUAAACGGCGGCCGUAACUAUAACGGUCCUAAGGUAGCGAAAUUCCUUGUCGGGUAAGUUCCGACCUGCACGAAUGGCGUAAUGAUGGCCAGGCUGUCUCCACCCGAGACUCAGUGAAAUUGAACUCGCUGUGAAGAUGCAGUGUACCCGCGGCAAGACGGAAAGACCCCGUGAACCUUUACUAUAGCUUGACACUGAACACUGGUCCUUGAUGUGUAGGAUAGGUGGGAGGCUUUGAAGUGUGGACGCCAGUCUGCAUGGAGCCAUCCUUGAAAUACCACCCUUUAAUGGCUGGUGUUCUAACGUGGGCCCCUAAUCGGGGUUGCGGACAGUGUCUGGUGGGUAGUUUGACUGGGGCGGUCUCCUCCUAAAGAGUAACGGAGGAGCACGAAGGUCAGCUAAUCCUGGUCGGACAUCAGGAGGUUAGUGCAAUGGCAUAAGCUGGCUUGACUGCGAGCGUGACGGCGCGAGCAGGUGCGAAAGCAGGUCAUAGUGAUCCGGUGGUUCUGAAUGGAAGGGCCAUCGCUCAACGGAUAAAAGGUACUCCGGGGAUAACAGGCUGAUACCGCCCAAGAGUUCAUAUCGACGGCGGUGUUUGGCACCUCGAUGUCGGCUCAUCACAUCCUGGGGCUGAAGUAGGUCCCAAGGGUAUGGCUGUUCGCCAUUUAAAGUGGUACGCGAGCUGGGUUUAGAACGUCGUGAGACAGUUCGGUCCCUAUCUGCCGUGGGCGCUGGAGAAUUGAGGGGGGCUGCUCCUAGUACGAGAGGACCGGAGUGGACGCAUCACUGGUGUUCGGGUUGUCAUGCCAAUGGCAUUGCCCGGUAGCUAAAUGCGGAAGAGAUAAGUGCUGAAAGCAUCUAAGCACGAAACUUGCCCCGAGAUGAGUUCUCCCUGACUCCUUGAGAGUCCUGAAGGAACGUUGAAGACGACGACGUUGAUAGGCCGGGUGUGUAAGCGCAGCGAUGCGUUGAGCUAACCGGUACUAAUGAACCGUGAGGCUUAACCUUACAACGCCGAAG